GACGAACGCUGGCGGCGUGCCUAAUACAUGCAAGUUGAGCGAUGAAGACUGGUGCUUGCACCAAUUUGAAGAGCAGCGAACGGGUGAGUAACGCGUGGGGAAUCUGCCUUUGAGCGGGGGACAACAUUUGGAAACGAAUGCUAAUACCGCAUAACAACUUUAAACAUAAGUUUUAAGUUUGAAAGAUGCAAUUGCAUCACUCAAAGAUGAUCCCGCGUUGUAUUAGCUAGUUGGUGAGGUAAAGGCUCACCAAGGCGAUGAUACAUAGCCGACCUGAGAGGGUGAUCGGCCACAUUGGGACUGAGACACGGCCCAAACUCCUACGGGAGGCAGCAGUAGGGAAUCUUCGGCAAUGGACGAAAGUCUGACCGAGCAACGCCGCGUGAGUGAAGAAGGUUUUCGGAUCGUAAAACUCUGUUGGUAGAGAAGGACGUUGGUGAGAGUGGAAAGCUCAUCAAGUGACGGUAACUACCCAGAAAGGGACGGCUAACUACGUG
rnacentral:rRNA from 1 species